AAGGAUCAUUGUCGAAACCUGCUGAGCAGAACGACCGGAGAACAAGUUAAUCUUACACGGGCGGGGUGGCGAUGCUGGUGCCUCGUGCCCAUGCACGCCCCUUGCCUGAGCCGGGCCGCGUCCCAGCAAUGGGUCGUUGCCUCGGCACUUCAACGAACCCCGGCGCGAAAAGCGUCAAGGAAAAUGAAUUAGUGCUCCUUCCCUGCGUUCGGUUAUCCGACGGAUGGGUUCGAUGCCAUGUAUUGAAAUAAACGACUCUCGGCAACGGAUAUCUCGGCUCUCGCAUCGAUGAAGAACGUAGCGAAAUGCGAUACUUGGUGUGAAUUGCAGAAUCCCGUGAACCAUCGAGUCUUUGAACGCAAGUUGCGCCCGAGGCCUCGGCCAAGGGCACGUCUGCCUGGGCGUCACGCAUCGCAUCUCCCCCACACAGCCCCGUGCUGGGGUAGGAGGAUGGCUUCCCGUGCCUCACCGGGCGCGGUUGGCCUAAAUCUGGAGCCAAAGGCAUCGUCCUUUCGCGGCGUCAGGUGGUGAACAAGGCUUAGGCCAAGCGAGCGACCCGUCGUGUCGGACUUUGCCCUGGCAUGACCCUUUGAUGUUGCCUUGUUGCGACGUCUACUGUUGCGACCCCA
rnacentral:rRNA from 1 species